rnacentral:rRNA from 1 species
UCCGGUUGAUCCUGCCGGACCUGACUGCUAUCGGAUUGGUACUAAGCCAUGUGAGUCGUUGUAGCAAUACAAGGCAUACGGCUCAGUAACACGUAGUCAAUCUAACCUAUGGACGGGGAUAACCUCGGGAAACUGAGGAUAAAACCCGAUAGAUCGUAAUGCCUGGAACGGUUUAUGGUCCAAAUGAUUCGUCGCCGUAGGGUGGGACUGCGGCCUAUCAGCUUGUUGAUGAGGUAAUGGCCCACCAAGGCUAUUACAGGUACGGGCUCUGAGAGGAGAAGCCCGGAGAUGGGUACUGAGACACGGACCCAGGCCCUAUGGGGCGCAGCAGGCGAGAAACCUUUGCAAUGUGCGCAAGCACGACAAGGUUAAUCCGAGUGUUUCCUGUUAAAGGAAUCUUUUGUUAGUCGUAAAAUCACUAUUGAAUAAGGGGUGGGCAAGUUCUGGUGUCAGCCGCCGCGGUAAAACCAGCACCUCAAGUGGUCAGGAUGAUUAUUGGGCCUAAAGCAUCCGUAGCCUGUUCUGUAAGUUUUCGGUUAAAUCCAUUAGCUCAACUAAUGGGCCGCCGAAAAUACUGCAGAACUAGGGAGUUGGAACGAGGUACGACGGUACUCGGUACGGAAGGGGUAAAAUCCUUUGAUCUAUUGAUGACCACCUGUGGCGAAGGCGGUCUACCAGAACACGUUCGACGGUGAGGGAUGAAAGCUGGGGGAGCAAACCGGAUUAGAUACCCGGGUAGUCCCAGCUGUAAACGAUGCAGACUCGGUGAUGCGCUGGCUUGUGGCCAGUGCAGUGCCGCAGGGAAGCCGUUAAGUUUGCCGCCUGGGAAGUACGUACGCAAGUAUGAAACUUAAAGGAAUUGGCGG